rnacentral:rRNA from 1 species
UACUGCUCAGUAACACGUGGACAAUCUACCCUAAGGUGGGGGAUAACCCCGGGAAACUGGGGAUAAUACCCCAUAGACUAUGAAUGCUGGAAUGCUUUGUAGUCGAAAGGUCAGCCGCCAUAGGAUGGGUCUGCGGCCGAUUAGGUAGUUGUUGGGGUAACGGCCCAACAAGCCUGUAAUCGGUACGGGUUGUGGGAGCAAGAGCCCGGAGAUGGAUUCUGAGACACGAAUCCAGGCCCUACGGGGCGCAGCAGGCGCGAAAACUUUACAAUGCGGGAAACCGUGAUAAGGGAACUCCGAGUGCCCGUUAAAUCGGGCUGUCCAUCAGUUUAAAAAACUGGUGAAGAAAGGGCCGGGCAAGACCGGUGCCAGCCGCCGCGGUAAUACCGGCGGCUCGAGUGGUGGCCACUAUUACUGGGCUUAAAGCGUUCGUAGCUGGUUUGUUAAGUCUCUGGGGAAAUCUUCCGGCUUAACCGGAAGGCGUCUCAGGGAUACUGGCAGACUAGGGACCGGAAGAGGUGAGGGGUACUCCAGGGGUAGGAGUGAAAUCCUGUAAUCCUUGGGGGACCACCUGUGGCGAAGGCGCCUCACCAGGACGGCUCCGACAGUGAGGGACGAAAGCUGGGGGAGCAAACCGGAUUAGAUACCCGGGUAGUCCCAGCCGUAAACGAUGUGCGUUAGGUGUAUCGGUGACCACGAGUCACCGAGGUGCCGAAGAGAAAUCGUGGAACGUACCGCCUGGGAAGUACGGUCGCAAGGCUGAAACUUAAAGGAAUUGGCGGGGGAGCACCACAACAGGUGGAGCCUGCGGUUUAAUCGGACUCAACGCCGGAAAACUCACCAGAUAAGACAGCUGAAUGAUAGUCGGGCUGAAGACUCUACUUGACUAGCUGAGAGGAGGUGCAUGGC